rnacentral:rRNA from 1 species
AGGAUGAACGCUGGCGGUCUGCUUAACACAUGCAAGUCGAACGGAGUACCUCGGUACUUAGUGGCGGACGGGUGAGUAACGCGUGAGAAUCUGCCCUUAGGUCGGGGACAACCAUUGGAAACGAUGGCUAAUACCGGAUAAGCCGAGAGGUAAAAGAUUAAUUGCCUAGGGAAGAGCUCGCGUCUGAUUAGCUAGUUGGUGAGGUAAAGGCUCACCAAGGCAUCGAUCAGUAGCUGGUCUGAGAGGAUGAUCAGCCACACUGGGACUGAGACACGGCCCAGACUCCUACGGGAGGCAGCAGUGGGGAAUUUUCCGCAAUGGGCGAAAGCCUGACGGAGCAAGACCGCGUGAGGGAGGAAGGCUCUUGGGUUGUAAACCUCUUUUCGUUGGGGAAGAACAAAAUGACGGUACCCAAGGAAUCAGCAUCGGCUAACUCCGCGCCAGCAGCCGC